CCUACGGGAGGCAGCAGUGGGGAAUAUUGCACAAUGGGGGAAACCCUGAUGCAGCGACGCCGCGUGAGUGAAGAAGUAUUUCGGUAUGUAAAGCUCUAUCAGCAGGGAAGAAAAUGACGGUACCUGAUUAAGAAGCGCCGGCUAACUACGUGCCAGCAGCCGCGGUAAUACGUAGGGGGCAAGCGGUAUCCGGAUUUACUGGGGUGAAAGGGAGCGUAGACGGCAGCACAAGUCUGGAGUGAAAUGCCGGGGCUUAACCCCGGAACUGCUUUGGAAACUGUGCAGCUAGAGUGCAGGAGAGGUAAGUGGAAUUCCUGGUGUAGCGGUGAAAUGCGUAGAUAUUAGGAGGAACACCGGUGGCGAAGGCGGCUUACUGGACUGUAACUGACGUUGAGGCUCGAAAGCGUGGGGAGCAAACAGGAUUAGAUACCCUUGUAGUC
rnacentral:rRNA from 1 species